CUGCUGCCUCCCGUAGGAGUUUGGACCGUGUCUCAGUUCCAAUGUGGGGGACCUUCCUCUCAGAACCCCUAUCCAUCGUCGUCUUGGUGGGCCGUUACCCCGCCAACUAACUAAUGGAACGCAUCCCCAUCGAUAACCGAAAUUCUUUAAUAUCAAGAUCAUGCGAUCUUGAUAUCCUAUCGGAUAUUAAUCUUUCUUUCGAAAGGCUAUCCCCGAGUUAUCGGCAGGUUGGAUACGUGUUACUCACCCGUGCGCCGGUCGCCAUCGG
rnacentral:rRNA from 1 species